ACAGAGUUUUAGCGGGAUGGUUCUACACUCUCGACACACACUACUAUUGCAGCAAAUGUGUGCUAGGUACUGUUUAUGAGUCACGAGGCAAAUUUAACUAACAGUCUCCGAGAGCGAAGAAGAACAGAUUCAAACACAGUGCCAUGUGGACAGUGUAGUGGGAAGUGUGGUGCAUAAGCGCGAAUGAUAAGCGUUCACGUUUGCCUAGAUGGCAAAGAUAUAAAUACUGCUACUGCGGCAGACCGAUGGUUGCAGUUGCAUUUACAAAGUAGCAUCGUUCAGUGCGUUUUGUGCGAGUGAUAUUUGAAUUGAAAAGCAUUUGUAGGGAACGUUUUUACUUUCAAAGAUAUUAAAAAUGCUGUGCUCAAGAUCAUCUACAUUGUACGCAGUGUUUGCGUUUAUUUUCGUAUCGGUGUUGCAUGACGCCAUGGCAUUGCAAUGUCGCAACUGUCUAAGCUCAAAAAGCUUCGCAGAGUGUGAAAAGAUGGGAGAAGUAGUCGUAUGUAAUUCCACGAUUGUCAAUCAAAACCACCAAGCCUUCCUGCCAGAUAAUCCGACAUUGCCACAAGGCAAUUGGACUGAAUUUAAAUGCUACCAAUUGCAAGUCGCUCGGUUGCACCAAAACAACACUGACAGCGGAUUGCGCGGAUACGCUCGGGGAUGUACUUUUCUGCACGUAAACUUUUGCAACGGUUGGACCAGCACCCUAAACCUUACCAGCUGCUCAACGUGCACGUCGGACAACUGUGAGCAACACCUUCCUACGGUAGCACCCGAGCUCACAACAACAACUACUACGAAAAAACCAUCUUCUAGUGGAGCAAAUGUAUUAACGUGGCGAAACCUCUCCAGUUUAGGCUGUCUGAGCGCCGUGGUUCUUCUUCUAGCAGCACGAUAAUUUUAAUAAACAUAUAAAUAGCAAACAAGGGUAAACUAGUGACCAUCAUCUAUCUUAGAGGGAUUGCAUUACAGCAAUUAUCCGCAGUACGCGAUACUCGAUAAACACGAAUUUGCAGUACGCGAUUCCUCUAAAUUUGACAGCACGAUGUGUGUUUUGAAAAUAUUUUAAUAAUUUGAAAUAUUGUAUGUUCUUUUUGAAUAUCAAUCAUCUUCAAAACCCGUGUUGCAUCGACUUUGUGAAGAUGCCUGUUUUACAAUAAAAAUAUGUAAUUCAAAACUCUGAGGCAGGCCAAGACCGCAAAGUGGUUGUAGCGCCGGAUAAGUAAGAAUCCCCGAAAGGAAUACGUGAAAACUCGAGAUCAGUGCUGCAAAAUGUCCUGAGCAUCACGAGAUGUGCACCAACGAAAACAAUGAACAUAUCCGAGGUUGCUUGAUGCUCAUUGCUGAUACUCAAUGAACGCGCGUCAUGACAUGCUGAACACGACAUUCGAAUGCUUGUGUCGAACGCCAUACUCUGUCUGAUAAGCAGGGCUUAAGGCCGGCGCAAGCAUAAUCAUGAUUUUUUCUGUUUCAGUCACCAACACUCAUGACUGACACCGAAGCUCAAAUCAGCUCACGUACACAACUGAGAUGAUCAGAUGUGAGACUCAGGCUGGUAUUAUUGAAUCCGUUCGUAGCGGCAGCGUACGUCCCAACACUCAUUUUCCUAACAUACUAGAUCGUUGCUACAGUUAUUCACCGCGGCGUUGUAGGACCGGGCGCAAGAACUGUGUUGCCAUCCCUAGAAUUUCAUGUGAGCGCCGUACGUUCCUGCUACGAACGGAUUCAAUAAUACCAGCCUCAAACAGUUGGUGGAUCAAUCACAUGUUUGGUAACAUUUUGUUUAGCACAUUUCGUUUAGGCUGGUAUUAUUGAAUCCGUUCGUAGCGGCGGCGUACGUCCCGACACUCAUUUUCCUAACGUACUAGAUGGUUGCUACAGUUAUUCACCGUGGCGUUGUAGGAGCGGGCUCAAGAAAUGCGUUGCCAUCCCUAGAAUUUCAUGUGAGCGUCGUACGUUCCCGCUACGAACGGAUUCAAUAAUACCAGCCUUAGUUUCUUGGAAUAUACAUGGCGUGUGUUCCCAAUCAACAAAAUGAGCAUGCUUUCCCGCUAUGUCUGCUUUGAUGGUCUGUCAAGUCAAACCGUGCAAGAAACCAUACUCAUUUUGUUUCUUGGAACCACUCGCACGCACCGCAUAUCUCCCAUGACUAUCGCGAUGAUCACCGAUUGAAAAUGUCGCGACCAAGUGACUGACCAAGAGUUGGUUGCGUACAAUGUCACCAAGCUGGUGAUGGUCGCAACAACUGUUUGAGUUUCACAUCUUAUCAUCACAGUAGAGUUCGUCACGGUGUUAUGGUUUUGUUUCAGUCGGAAUUUAUCAUAACUAUUUCAGUAACUUUUUGCAGCACUGAUCACAGUAAAAAAAGUCAUGACAUUGUGAAUGACCAAGCAUUGGUCGCAAAAUUGUCACGAAGCAUGCAUUGGUCACACCAAUCGCUUUGAGUAUCACCUCUGAUUAUCACAAUUAAGUACGUGACGCUGACAUGGAUUUUGUUUCAGUCAGAUUGUUAUGACAUUGACAUUUUGCAGCACUGAUAGAGAUACGCGAUUGUGCUCGGUACCGUACGAUAGUGUAUAUCGGAUAAUGACUGUAUAACAGUUUAUAAAGGUAAGUAUCGAUCAAUCCACACCGUUCGCAGACGCAGAGUCAGUUUUACACGCAUUGUACUUUAUACUAACGACCGUAUAACGGAUAAUAAUGCACCGAAUAGUAGCAUGUAAAGAUGGAAUAUAAUUUAUAAUAAAUUGCAAAACUGAAAGGUUUUAUUAUUUUGUACAGAUCAA